UGGGGAAUAUUGCACAAUGGGCGAAAGCCUGAUGCAGCAACGCCGCGUGAGUGAUGAAGGCCUUCGGGUUGUAAAGCUCUGUCUUUUGGGACGAUAAUGACGGUACCAAAGGAGGAAGCCACGGCUAACUACGUGCCAGCAGCCGCGGUAAUACGUAGGUGGCAAGCGUUGUCCGGAUUUACUGGGCGUAAAGGAUGCGUAGGCGGAUUUUUAAGUGAGAUGUGAAAUACCCGGGCUUAACUUGGGUGCUGCAUUUCAAACUGGGAAUCUAGAGUGCGGGAGAGGAGAAUGAAAUUCCUAGUGUAGCGGUGAAAUGCGUAGAGAUUAGGAAGAACACCAGUGGCGAAGGCGAUUCUCUGGACCGUAACUGACGCUGAGGCAUGAAAGCGUGGGUAGCAAACAGGAUUAGAUACCCUGGUAGUCCACGCCGUAAACGAUGAGUACUAGGUGUAGGAGGUAUCGACCCCUUCUGUGCCGCAGUUAACACAAUAAGUACUCCGCCUGGGAAGUACGAUCGCAAGAUU
rnacentral:rRNA from 1 species